CAGCAGCACAUCGUGUGGCCCCAUAGAAAUGAAUGGGUCCGCAAUUCCGUUCCGCAAAAUGGCAACAGAAUUGCGGACGUGUGAAUGGAGCCUAAAGGGGGGCAUCCCAUGAAUAACCUUGAUCAGCAUGGGUCCAACUGCUGGGACCUCCACUGUUCCCCCGUUUGAAUGACAUGGCGCUCAUGCAUGUCUGUUACCACUCCAUUCAACACCGUGGCUGCUGCAGAUAGCAGAAUACAGCGCCAUGAUGCUGAGUGGAGUGGCAGCAGACAUGCAUGACCCGCCGCUCCAUUCAAAUAGGGGAGCAUGGUCUUUGGUGGGACAUCUCCUUUACGCCCCCUUUGCAGGCUGUUACCACUUACAUGACUUUCAGAUGAUUCAAGUUUUGAUUGAUUCCCGGCUGUAUCUGGUAUGGCAGCUUACAUUUACAUCCAUUUACACAAUUACGCGUCCGCUGGGGGGGGAUGUUUCUAGUCCUAGUCAAGUCUAGUAAUUGGAUCAAAAUCCUGUCCUACAAUGCUGCUUUAAAUCCUGAUCUUUGAAUUUCAGUGUGAAUGCCUUUCCUAAUCGGAGUCGGCCAUUGUGUAGACUGAAGCAGCAUUCAGCUCGUGAUUGUUCUCCUACCUGAGGAACGGCAAUGUUAAUAAGUUGCAUUUUCGUGAACGUCGCUUCUGUCCACAAAAUGGCGUCCUCUGAAAAGUGUAACUCCAGCUAUGACACGUGUACUAAAGUUACUCUCCCUUCUGUCUUUCCACUUGCAACCUGUUCCUUGGCUAAGUACUAGUAUCACAGGCGCUCUCAGCAAAUUUUCCCUACCUGCUAUUGCACUAACCAAGCAUGUUCUACUGCAUCAUAAUCCUUUAUAAUACACAAGUCAUGGAAAUGCCGCAAUUGCGCUCUGUAUACAGACAGUGGGGUGUCAUAGCGUGAUGUCAUCACUUCCCCUCUUGAAAACUUGUGUAUCAUAAGGGCUACUGCACUCCCUACUGUAAACGUUCUCGGACAUCACCCGGGAUCUCUGUGACCGGUAUUAAGCGAGCGGCUCACCGCCUCUUGCUUUUAUUAGUUUGCUGAAAUCCUAGCGUUUGCGCUAACCCAUAUCUCUCGACAUAGAUCUUGGUUUCCGAGGGCUUUUUGCUUUUGUUUGUUUUGUUUCCUAUCUUUACUGUACCAACAUAUCUAUACUGAUGUGUAAACAGGCGAAAUGGGAGGAGUCUAUCACACAGUGAUGUCACUAGUGGAUUCUGUGAUGUCACUUAUGGACAGCUGGAACUGUAGGAAGAAGGAGGAUUGCUGCCCACAUUGUAGCUGCCUUGUCUGCAGAAAUCCCCGAUUUUUGUGAAUGGACUUUUAUAUUUUUCAACAUUCUUUUUUUUAUAAAAUUUGAUAA